AUGGGUUUCUUUACACAGGACUGAACACUUCCGUGGAGAAAUAUACGCUUACCCAAUGUUUCUCCAAAAGAGAGUGUCGAAGAAGGCCAAUGUAGACUUCUUCUGUAUGGAUGUAACAUGCAGGUACUGGCCAUACCUUAACAAAAAUAGCCGAGGGAUUACCCAGAGCUUCUGCCGUUGACCGAAAUGAGGUGCCAUUUCUUAGCGUGAUGCAUGCUAAAGCCAUAUACAGCAAAAUGCCGAGUGAGAUGGGGUGGCAGAAGUCAGGACGGAGCAGGAAACACAGUGGGAGAGGAAGUUAGAGCAGGUGAACAGCUUCUCUCCAGGGCAGCUCUGGUCACAAAAUACAUGACAAAAGCAGAUCACAGAGAGGGCAAAGGUGGAAGCUGCCAGUUCAGCGACUUCAAAAGGAGCACAACCUUGAUCAGGAGACCAAUACAGCAGUGGGUGUAUGAUGUCAGGCAAUUGGGCGGUCACAGAGAGAGUCUACGCCCCAGGUGUACUGAAGGGACUGAGG